ensembl:lncRNA
AAACAACGGUUCAAAUGUUGGUCCGACCAGUUUAUUACAAAUGUUAAUAAGGGAGAUGGGGAAAGGGGAGGACGGACACUAUUAAGGAUUGGGGUGAUGGGGAAGGGAAGGCGAGCGAUAGAAAAGAUAGAAAGAGGCAAGAAUUGCGUAAAGCGGGGAUAGUCACCACCAGGAUCCGGCAGCAGUCCCGUUGCACGAUGUUCCGACGGUCCGAGGCCGAAGGGCAGGAGCAGCGAGGCCGGUCUUGGGCAACGAGAGGGUGCAGGUCAGGGAGGAAGCAGCAGGUCUCAGGUAGCAGGCCCAGGGAAGUCCGUCAGCAAACGGUCCG